rnacentral:piRNA from 1 species
GGAAGUGUCUGUCUGCCUUUGGGGAC